UAGAUAAGAGGUGGCUUGUUGUGCUUGGGUUUCCGUUGAACUUCACUGCGAGUUACAAAAUCCUAUGACAUAACUACUGCACAUAGGAUUUUUUAGCAGUGAUUUCCCCAAGAAGGACUCUGUGUAUAUGGAGAGAGAGGAGAGAGAGACGGAGAGGAGGAGAGAGAGGGACGGAGAGAAAGGGAGUGUGUGUGAGCAAGCAUGAGUUCCUGUUGAUAAUUAUUGUGUAAAAUGUUCAGAGAGGCCAACAAUAAUGAGGGGAUAUUGGGGUCUUGGGGGUCUCUAUGCAGAGAGACACCCCUCCACCCCACCUUGUGUUGAAACAGCAACAAGCACUGUGUGGUGUCCAUGGGGUCCCCGAACCCACCCUUCUCUGCACUCGCUGGGCUGGGCUGGGCUUCUCAUCUUGGUUGUCAGACCUACCACGCUUGUACUGACCAAUUAAAUCUGCAGCCUUCCUUGCAGGCUUUUUCUGGCUUGUAGGAGAAAAAUGGCAUUUAGAGCUAGGUUAUUCCAAAGGGUGGAGGGAGCUAAGUCCACUGGAGGCUAAAAAUAGCCAGAGCCCUGCCGGCCCGGCCAGGCCUGCGGGCCUAGGGACCGCCCGCCGUCCCCCUGGCCCUCCCCGGGUGCCACAUGCCGACGCUAGUUCCAGGAGGUGCUCAGAGCCUGUUACUCAUAUGUCAGAUUCCCACUGUCGUGAUGUUAUUUCAUGCACCAACUGCGUUUUCAUAGAAAAGCAGACUCUCAAGCUGAUGAGUCCUCCUCCCCACUCGAAGCUGGAGACAGGUUGCCCAUCUGGAAAACGGGGCCUGAGGAUGGAGACCAGCGCUGUGCCCCUGGAGGGGCUGAUUGCAGGAUCUCAAGGUCAACCAGACCCCCUGAAGCCUGAUGCUGGGAGCAGUGGCCCCCUCGGUGUGGUGAAGGCACUCUGCUUGGAGAUGCGGUAGCCGUGAGGUCCAGGGUGGCGGUCUGAUGCCUGUCAUGACUUGGGUAGUGAUGGCCCCAGCACUGGACUGUGAGGAGAUGGCCAAGCACUCACCUUCUUCACAAAGUACCUGGUACUGACUUGUCUGGUGGGCAGUGUGCGCCGGACGUGUGGGGGCUUUGUACAAUAUUAUUGUCUGUGAAAUGAGGCUUCCCCCAUACUGACAGGGUGUGUAUAACCUAGAGAAGUCGAGGGCAGGUGGAGCCCUUGUUCAUCCUGGGAGGGACUGGCUUGAAUUUGAGAAAUAAAAUGAAGCUGGAAACGGCA